rnacentral:lncRNA from 1 species
GCUUAAAUUCUGCACCUCAGCAGCCAAGAGGACGGGUAAUAAAUCCCGAAUUCAGACAAGGGGGGCUUAAGAUGGGAAAUCUCAGCCUGCGGGGUGAACAGAGAAGCUGAAGAUGGAGACGAUGGCUGAAGCCUGCCAAGAUUCAGGGAAAAAUGCAGCAGCAUGCCAGAUCCUCGCUGGAUUUGAGCGUAUCAGGCUGAUUGCAACCCCAGCCCAAUUCUCUGGCUCUGCUGGAAGCUAUCCUAAGAGGUUUCAUGACAGCAGCCUCGGGAACACCUUGUGGAACUGCAGCACUCUGCUCGUCCUCCAUCAUCACGGCUGUGCAGAGAGGGAUGGAUGGCUACAUCUGGGAAUGCAUCUGAGUAAGAGACUGGUUCACUUUGAACACUGGUGUAGAACAAUGGUACACCUGUUUUCUGUUGCUGUUUUGCAUUAUCAUACACAGCUUCUGUGUUGGCAGCAC